UACGGGGGGGGGCAAGCGUUGUUCGGAAUUACUGGGCGUAAAGGGCUCGUAGGUGGCCAACUAAGUCAGACGUGAAAUCCCUCGGCUUAACCGGGGAACUGCGUCUGAUACUGGAUGGCUUGAGUUUGGGAGAGGGAUGCGGAAUUCCAGGUGUAGCGGUGAAAUGCGUAGAUAUCUGGAGGAACACCGGUGGCGAAGGCGGCAUCCUGGACCAACACUGACACUGAGGAGCGAAAGCCAGGGGGAGCAAACGGG
rnacentral:rRNA from 1 species